GACGAACGCUGGCGGCGUGCUUAACACAUGCAAGUCGAGCGGAAAGGCCACUUCGGUGGUACUCGAGCGGCGAACGGGUGAGUAACACGUGAGUAAUCUGCCCCUGGCUUCGGGAUAGCCACCGGAAACGGUGAUUAAUACCGGAUAUGACAGACCCUCGCAUGGGGGUGUGUGGAAAGUUUUUCGGCCAGGGAUGUGCUCGCGGCCUAUCAGCUUGAUGGUGAGGUAAUGGCUCACCAUGGCUUCGACGGGUAGCCGGCCUGAGAGGGUGACCGGCCACACUGGGACUGAGACACGGCCCAGACUCCUACGGGAGGCAGCAGUGGGGAAUAUUGGACAAUGGGCGGAAGCCUGAUCCAGCAACGCCGCGUGAGGGAUGACGGCCUUCGGGUUGUAAACCUCUUUCAGUACCGACGAAGCGCAAGUGACGGUAGGUACAGAAGAAGCACCGGCCAACUACGUGCCAGCAGCCGCGGUAAUACGUAGGGUGCGAGCGUUGUCCGGAAUUAUUGGGCGUAAAGGGCUCGUAGGCGGUUUGUCGCGUCGGGAGUGAAAACGCCGUGCUUAACACGGCGCUUGCUUCCGAUACGGGCAGACUAGAGGUAUUCAGGGGAGAACGGAAUUCCUGGUGUAGCGGUGAAAUGCGCAGAUAUCAGGAGGAACACCGGUGGCGAAGGCGGUUCUCUGGGAAUGACCUGACGCUGAGGAG
rnacentral:rRNA from 1 species